AGGGAAUCUUCCACAAUGGACGGAAGUCUGAUGGAGCAACGCCGCGUGAGUGAUGAAGGUUUUCGGAUCGUAAAACUCUGUUGUAAGGGAAGAACCAGUACGUCAGGCAAUGGACGUACCUUGACGGUACCUUAUUAGAAAGCCACGGCUAACUACGUGCCAGCAGCCGCGGUAAUACGUAGGUGGCAAGCGUUGUCCGGAAUUAUUGGGCGUAAAGCGCGCGCAGGUGGUUUCUUAAGUCUGAUGUGACAGCCCACGGCUUAACCGUGGAGAGUCAUUGGAAACUGGGAGACUUGAGUGCAGACGAGGCAAGUGGAAUUCCAAGUGUAGCGGUGAUAUGCGUAGAGAUUUGGAGGAAGACCAGCGGCGAAGGUGACUUUCUGGUCGGCAUCUGACGAUGAGGCGCGAAAGCAUGGGAAGCAAACA
rnacentral:rRNA from 1 species